UCGUUGGCGCGAAAUAGACGCAAAACGGACUCAGCGGAGACGCGAGAGCAAGUGUUAGCAUUGGAAUCUGCGAAUUGCAGAUUUUCUGCUUGUUGUACCGGUAUGACAUCAGGGUUGUACCGGUACACUUUCUGUAUCGGUACAGCAUCAGAGGUGUACUAGUACACUUCGCUUGAUUGGCGAACAGCUGCUCUCGGGUUGCCUUUUGUACCGGUACAGGUGCACGUGUACCGGUACACGGGGGUAGGUGAGGGACAGAAAUGACUUUUUAUGCGUCGUACGUAUUACCCACUCUUCCCCUUACUACAUAGCUUCGUAGAGAGAAGCUAAGGGGAGUUUUUUGGCUGGUUUCUUCUCCUCUUUCUCUCUAGACUUGAUCCGAGCAUGCGGAGGAGCUCAUGUGGAUUUGUUUCGUCGCCGACGUCGCGCCGCAGAGCUGUUUGAGCACACGAGCGUUGUGGUGGCUGCAUGGGGAGGCCGAGCGAGCAUGUGAUUUCGCCGUUUCGACGUCGCGCCGGUGUUGGUUUAGCUAUCGAGAGCUUGCUGUUCCGGCUGCUGCUUCUUCGGAGACUGACCGCGGCAAGGGCGUUGCUAGUUAGAGCUUUUCCUAGUUACUGCUGUUCGUGAGGUUACCAGCUGCAGGUAGUGCUAGUUUUUGGAGUUUCUUAUACAUACUGGUUGUAUCUCGCUAGGCGAACUUUUGUGUACCUGAACGUAUGUAUGUAUAUGGAACUUGUUCCUGUUUUUACCAGUUUUAUUCGAAUAGCUCUAUACUACUGUUUGUAGUAUUGUAUGUUUUACAAGUACAGCUAUCGCUUCGUAUAUAGGAAAAAAA